AAGAGCAUAGUUUAAUGGUAAAACAUGAAGCUUCAACCUUCUAGUUCUUGGUUCAAAUCCAAGUGCUCUUG
rfam:Stachybotrys chlorohalonata IBT 40285 unplaced genomic scaffold scaffold1832, whole genome shotgun sequence.